AUGUUCUUGCUCAGCAUCUACCCCGAAUGGCAAGAGAAGCUCAGGGAGGAAGUGCUGAGAGAAUGCAGGGAUGAUGAUGGCGAUGCCCCCUAUAGCAAUAACAUCCAAGUCCUUGGCAAAUUCAAGCUACUUAGCAUGUUCCUUCUUGAGACAUUGAGGCUCUACAGUCCCGUGCCGUUCUUGCUGAGGAAGACCGCGUCUGACACAACAUUAACAAACAUCAAAUUUCGAAAAGGAACCAUGAUAACAAUUCCGGUCAUGAUGUUGCACCGGAGCAAGGAGAUUUGGGGCCUCGACGCCGACGAGUUCAACCCCAUGAGGUUUGAGAACGGUGUCUUGGGGGCUACCAACAACACGCUUGCAAUGUUGGCCUUCUCAUGCGGGCCACGUGGGUGCCCAGGGAGGAACUAUUCCAUGAUCGAGGUGCAGACUGUGAUGAUGAUGAUCCUGAGAAGAUUCUCCUUCUCCCUCUCUUCCCAGUAUGUUCACAUGCCCAGGAACUUCAUCUCACUUGCACCUAGGUAUGGCCUUCCCCUAAUCGUGAGGAAUCUGCUGGAUGGAGAAAAAAGUGAUAUUUAA
rnacentral:rRNA from 1 species